rnacentral:rRNA from 1 species
GACGAACGCUGGCGGCGUGCUUAACACAUGCAAGUCGAACGGAAAGGCCCUGCUUUUGUGGGGUGCUCGAGUGGCGAACGGGUGAGUAACACGUGAGUAACCUGCCCUUGACUUUGGGAUAACUUCAGGAAACUGGGGCUAAUACCGGAUAGGAGCUCCUGCUGCAUGGUGGGGGUUGGAAAGUUUCGGCGGUUGGGGAUGGACUCGCGGCUUAUCAGCUUGUUGGUGGGGUAGUGGCUUACCAAGGCUUUGACGGGUAGCCGGCCUGAGAGGGUGACCGGACACAUUGGGACUGAGAUACGGCCCAGACUACUACGGGAGGCAGCAGUGGGGAAGAGUGCACAAUGGGCGGAAGCCUGAUGCAGCAACGCCGCGUGCGGGAUGACGGCCUUCGGGUUGUAAACCGCUUUCGCCUGUGACGAAGCGUGAGUGACGGUAAUGGGUAAAGAAGCACCGGCUAACUACGUG